GCAGUUAAUCUUAUGUGCUUAAAGUCUAACAUUUGAGAUAAAAACUCAGCGGAUUUAUUGUUAAAUUUUAAUGAUUUAUUGCUGAAUGAUGAGAUGGGGAUUGCAUUCUGCUCUCAGGGAGCACUUUUUCAUAAAUAAUAUAUCAUAGUGAGAAAAGUAUGUCUACCAAUGAGAAUUCAUAUUGUACAUAAUUGAGACUCUUUUUUUUCUUCUAAACUAUAUUUUUCAGCAUUCCAAAGGGACCCAGAGUCCUAUGGUUUUGAAAAAUUACACAAUAGAAAUUUCAGAGGACUAUCCAAGAUGACAAUAACCAGACAUGCUGGUGCAGCAUACAAGUUUUGGAACAAACGUGGAAGGGUCAAUUCAAGCACUAGUUCUCAGAUCCAAAGAUGGAAACAAGGUUUAGGGUGAUGGGAUUUGGCCAGGCUUUCUUCCCAGAAUCAAGAGUCAUUCUCUGAGGAAGAGUAGACUCACUCACUGUCUUGAAACACUGAUGGUAUGUACUAUUCACUAGACUAUGUGGGGAAACUGCAUGCCUAUAACUUUUUUAAAAAAAUCUUUUACUAACAUAUAACAUACCUACAGAAAAGUGUGCACAUCAUAAGAGUAUGAAAGUGAAAGUGAAGUUGCUCAGUCGUGUCCGACUCUUUGCAACCCUGUGGACUGUAGCUUACCAGGCUCCUCUGUCCAUGGGAUUUUCCAGGCAAUAGUCCUGGAGUGGAUUGCCAUUUCCUUCUCCAGGGGAAUCUUCCCAACCCAGGGAUGGCCCGGGUCUCCUGCAUUGUAGACAGACGCUUUACCGUCUGAGCCACCAGGGAAGUCUUUUAAGAGUAUAGCUCAACAGAAUUUUAAUAAACUGAUUACAUCCAUGUAACUAGCA
rnacentral:lncRNA from 1 species